UACGUAGGGACCAAGCGUUGUUCGGAUUUACUGGGCGUAAAGGGCGCGUAGGCGGCAAUUCAAGUCAGCUGUGAAAUCUCUGGGCUUAACCCAGAACGGCCAGCUGAUACUGCUUUGCUAGAGUGCAGAAGGGGCAAUCGGAAUUCUUGGUGUAGCGGUGAAAUGCGUAGAUAUCAAGAGGAACACCUGAGGUGAAGACGGGUUGCUGGGCUGACACUGACGCUGAUGCGCGAAAGCCAGGGGAGCAAACGGG
rnacentral:rRNA from 1 species